rnacentral:rRNA from 1 species
AGUGAACGCUGGCGGUAGGCCUAACACAUGCAAGUCGAACGGCAGCACAGUAAGAGCUUGCUCUUACGGGUGGCGAGUGGCGGACGGGUGAGGAAUACAUCGGAAUCUACUUUUUCGUGGGGGAUAACGUAGGGAAACUUACGCUAAUACCGCAUACGACCUACGGGUGAAAGAAGGGGAUCUUCGGACCUUGCGCGAUUGAAUGAGCCGAUGUCGGAUUAGCUAGUUGGCGGGGUAAAGGCCCACCAAGGCGACGAUCCGUAGCUGGUCUGAGAGGAUGAUCAGCCACACUGGAACUGAGACACGGUCCAGACUCCUACGGGAGGCAGCAGUGGGGAAUAUUGGACAAGGGGCGCAAGCCUGAUCCAGCCAUACCGCGUGGGUGAAGAAGGCCUUCGGGUUGUAAAGCCCUUUUGUUGGGAAAGAAAAGCAGCAGGUUAAUACCCCGCUGUUCUGACGGUACCCAAAGAAUAAGCACCGGCUAACUUCGU